rnacentral:ncRNA from 1 species
UUCCUCGAUCAGUGCAAGUUGUCAUUGCUGUGGUUAAAAAGCAGGUGUUUCUUUUCAGAGUCUCAUACAGUGAUUUGCCUUUGGCCUUAGUCAUUGUUGUAACUAUUUGCUGGUUUUAUAUAGGAAUUUCGAUUUCUUUAAUAGUUAGUGAGUUGAUUGUGAAUAAAUCAGGAAUUUUAAAGCAAGCUUUUGCCUGAAUGGUCAUUGAAAUUGGAAAGCAGGGACUGCCUUACGGCAGUGAAAGCAUUUGCCAAAAAUGUGCUCAGUAAUCAAGAAUGCAAGUCAGAUAGAUGUUCGAAGGCGAUAAGAUGGUGCGACCGUAAACUAUACUAUAUUCCGAUCUGAUGGGGUAUUGUUCUUUCGUCGAGCAGCUUCCCAGAAACGAAGUUCUUUCGGUUCUUAGGGUAGAAUGGUUGAAAAGCUGAAAUUUAAAGAAAUUGGCGAAAUGGCACCGAGAGGAGUGGAGCAUGUCGCUUAAUUUGACUCAAUACGGAAAAGCUCAUCUGGUCCGGACGCCGUAAAGAAUGACAGAUUGAAUUCUCUUUCUCGAUUUGGCGGUUGGUGGUACACGGUCGUUCUUAAUUGGUGGAGCGAUUUGUCUGGCUUAUUCCGAUAACGAGCGAGACUCUAACCUGCUAAAUAGCGACUAGAUUCUUAUCACUAAUUCCCUUCCUAAAAGGAUAAGCGGUAUUUAGUCCCACGAGAAUGAGAGAGAACAGGUCUGUAAUGCUCUAAGAUGUCCUGCGUUGCACGCAUGCUACAGUGGUAGAAUCAGCUGGGCUAUCUAUUGCCGAAAAGUGUUGGUAAACCGUUGAAACUUUUCGGUGACAGGGAUAGGGAAUUGCGAUUGUUUUCCACGACCAACUUUCUAUUAACCUCGGCAUUGAUCAAAUAGUUCUUUAUAUUCUUGUAGAGAAAACACGA